rnacentral:piRNA from 1 species
UACAUCACUUACAAAUCACC